rnacentral:lncRNA from 1 species
AUGGUGUGUGUGUGUGUGUUCAUAUGUUUUUGUGUGUGUGUGUGUGUGUGUGUGUGUGUGUGUGUGUGUGUAUGUGUGUGUGUGUGUGUGCUGUCUUGGCAGGCUGAGUGUGUGGAGCUGCAGGAGGAGAGGGGGCGUCUGGCAGCUCGAGUGGCUGAGCUGGAGAGUGCCGCACGGGGCCUGAGGGAGGAGCUGAAGCAGGCUGCCCGGAGGGAGAGGAUGCUGGUGGCUUUCCCCGAGCUCAACCCCCUGGCACAGGGGGCGCCCCAGAGUACAGGUGACGUGCUGGGGGACAUGGAGCAGCAGCUGCAGGUGAACUGUCUGCGGAUCCGAGUCCUGGAGCAGGAGAACACGUCUCUGAGGAGCAGCCUGGAGAAGCUGAGGGAGAGGGGCAGAGUCAGAGCUGCCAACCAGCCUGCCGAGGUAUGGUCUCCUCAGCACCAGAGUAUGUCUGACAUGUCUAAACGUGUGCAGCAGAUGUAUCCAGCUAAUGCUGCCCGUAGCGCACAGGGUGAGCGGCGCCUGGCUGAAGUGAGUGUUGCUGCACAGGAUCGGGGCACUGCUGCAGCGGAUAUGGGCCCUUGGGAGCCCUCCCCUUCUCUCUCCCGGGGCCUCCCUUCUCCUUCCUCCCUCUCGUCCUUCUCCUUCUCCUCCUCCUCCACUACUCCCUCCAUCCUUCACCAGCAGACCCUCCAGCUCUCCCUCCCUCCGGAGUCCACGGAGGCCUCACAGACCUACGCCAAGAUCCGCCAGGCCGCUCGAGCCCGCUCCGCAGGCGGCCGACACCGGAGGAAGUGAUAUCACGACUGUCCCAUCCUAUGUCACAUGUGUUGCAACCAUAGCAGAAAUGGGAGUUGUGGAUUCCUCUCUCUUUCUCUUUUUCUCUCUCUCUGUAUGUGUGUGUGUGUGUUUGUAUGUCUUCAGAACAGAUUUGUCCUUUCUCCUGAGAAAAUGUUUACUUUAUGUGCAGUGUCACACAGGCUUUGGCCUUCUAAAUCUUUUGUCUAUCUUGGAAGAUUUGGACUACAAUCCAAAGUUGCCAGUCCAUGAAGAAGCAUGACCUCAACAACUGUUGACUUGCCCUAAGAGAAUGAUUGGAGGACUUUACUGUUCAGUGUCAGUUUUUGUUCUGUGUAUGUAUUGUUUCUGUGUUCAUGUUUUUUUUUUUUUUUAUCUUACUGUUGUUCCAUCAUGAUAAUGGAG